rnacentral:lncRNA from 1 species
GGAGGGAGUGCUUUGAAUUUCUGCUCUUAGGCUUAAUUUGGUAUUAAGUUCUAUCUAACACUAUUAGAUAAAAUAUAAUUGAGAAAAAAAUAUAUAGGAAUAUAUUUUUACGUUUUUCGGUAGGAUCGCAAAAAAGAUAUCGUAACGGACUCAUCGUGAUAUGUAGAACACAAUACUAUGUACGAAAACAAACAGAAUAUUUUUCCAACGUUCUUUCUCACCGCACGUAACGCAAUUUCCUCGCAAUCUCAAACGAAAUCUUAAAAACCUACACAGAAAUUAGGAAGAAUCGGGAAAGUAGGUUUUUUUCUUUAAAAAUAUAAAAUAUUUUAGAUAUCAUAAGUUUCGGCAAUUUUUUAUUUUAAUAUUAUAAGGUUUAAAAUGUAACAUUUCAGUACUAUAUAAUUUCGUUUUUUUUUCUUUUCGUUAUUCCUUACUUUAAUUAUUUUUAUUAAAUCAGUAAAAAAAGUUAAAAUAGCUUUUUUAAGAAAGAAUUAAAAAAUUUUAAAAACCAUACCUUAGUUUCACGAUUUUUUAUUUUAGCAUUCUGUGGUUUAAAAUGUAAAUGUAACACUUUAAUAUAACACGAUUUUGCUUUUUUCUUUUCGUUCUUCUCUACGUUAAUUUUUUUCAUUAAAUCAGUAAAAAAAAGUUAAACCCACAAUGUACUAAAGUGAAUAUUCGAUGAACCAUAGGUAGGAUAUCUGAAGUUUUUUUUAUAUGAUUUAACGAAGAGUUAAUGAAGAUACCAAUGGAAAAAAAAAAAAUUUACGGAAUACUAAAGUGUUACACUUUAAAUUAUACGGUAUUAAAGUGAGAAAGCGAGAAACCAUAGAAGUGGUAUUUGAAGUUUAUCCAAGAAAUAAUAUCUUGAUAUAUCUUUAAAAUUUUUAAAAAUAUUUUAUUUUGUUUUGACGAACUAAAAUAUUUUAUUAAUUUUGAAAAAAUAAAUAUUCUAAUCAUUUUUAGGAUUUACUAGUGUGAUUGGAUUUUACAAAAAUAUUUUGAUAAUUUUAAAAUAAAUUUAAAAUUUUUUGAAUAGUAAUAAAAUAUUAUA